rnacentral:rRNA from 1 species
AGUGAACGCUGGCGGUAGGCCUAACACAUGCAAGUCGAACGGCAGCACAGUAAGAGCUUGCUCUUACGGGUGGCGAGUGGCGGACGGGUGAGGAAUACAUCGGAAUCUACUUUUUCGUGGGGGAUAACGUAGGGAAACUUACGCUAAUACCGCAUACGACCUACGGGUGAAAGCAGGGGAUCUUCGGACCUUGCGCGAUUGAAUGAGCCGAUGUCGGAUUAGCUAGUUGGCGGGGUAAAGGCCCACCAAGGCGACGAUCCGUAGCUGGUCUGAGAGGAUGAUCAGCCAGACUGGAACUGAGACACGGCCCAGACUCCUACGGGAGGCAGCAGUGGGGAAUAUUGGACAAUGGGCGCAAGCCUGAUCCAGCCAUACCGCGUGGGUGAAGAAGGCCUUCGGGUUGUAAAGCCCUUUUGUUGGGAAAGAAAAGCAGCAGGUUAAUACCCCGCUGUUCUGACGGUACCCAAAGAAUAAGCACCGGCUAACUUCGUG